rnacentral:snoRNA from 1 species
CCGUGAGAGGAAUGAUGUACUACUAUCGGGCUCUUGAGAUGCUAGCUUUUCUGGACUCUGCAUCCGAGAUGGACAUAAGG